rnacentral:rRNA from 1 species
UAGAAAUUAAAUAAAAAUUAAGCACAACAAAGCAGAGACUCCCCUCGUACCUUUUGCAUCAUGGUUUAGCUAGUCAAACCAAGCACAAAGAAUUUUAGUUUGACCUCCCGAAACUAGGUGAGCUACUUCAAAACAGCCUAUCAAGGGCCAACCCGUCUCUGUUGCAAAAGAGUGGGAAGAUUUUCAAGUAGAGGUGACAGACCUACCGAACCUAGAGAUAGCUGGUUAUUUAGGAAAAGGAUUUUAGUCCUACCUUAAGUUCUUCCUUUAUUAAUAAAACAACUCCGAACUUAAGAGCUAUUCAAACAAGGUACAGCCUGUUUGAAACAGGGAACAACCUCAAAAACAGGGUAACUCCAAAUGACAGGUGUCCAAGUGGGCCUAAAAGCAGCCAACUUUAAAAAAGCGUUACAGCUUCCUCACCAGUCACUUUAAUACCAAAAACACUACAUAACCCUUACCCAGUACUAAAUAACUCUAUACCCCUAUAGAAAUUAUUAUGCUAAAACUAGUAACAUGAAGAAGCCCUUCUCCUAAAUGUACAUGUACGCCAAAAAGAACAAUUCAUUGGCAUUUAACGCUACUGACCCUAAAGCAACAACUAUACAAGAGAAUCUUGCUAACACCAACGUUAACCUAACACAAGAACAUUUCAGGAAAGAUUAAAAGAGGUGGAAGGAACUCGGCAAAUUUUAACCCCGCCUGUUUACC